rnacentral:rRNA from 1 species
GACGAACGCUGGCGGCGUGCCUAACACAUGCAAGUCGAGCGGUAAGGCCCUUUCGGGGGUACACGAGCGGCGAACGGGUGAGUAACACGUGGGUGACCUGCCCUCAGCUCUGGGAUAAGCCUGGGAAACCGGGUCUAAUACUGGAUAUGACUCCAUGACGCAUGUUGUGGGGUGGAAAGCCUUGUGCGGCUGAGGAUGGGCCCGCGGCCUAUCAGCUUGUUGGUGGGGUGANGGCCUACCAAGGCGACGACGGGUAGCCGGCCUGAGAGGGCGACCGGCCACACUGGGGCUGAGACACGGCCCAGACUCCUACGGGAGGCAGCAGUGGGGAAUCUUGCGCAAUGGGCGAAAGCCUGACGCAGCGACGCCGCGUGAGGGAUGACGGCCU